GACAAAGUCAUUGACUUCAACACAAAACUCACCGUCACUAAAGGGGCUCUGCAAAGAGGGUGACUGAGCGCAUGUUAGCAACGUGCACAGCAGGGUGGGCCUCUCCAGUUUCAGCCUGGGAGCCACAAUCCCUCUCCCUUACUCUUGGGGAUUCAGCCCAGAGAGAGAGAAGAGGACAAGACAAGAGCAGUUACCUGGCCUGUCAGAAACACCAGGACGGGGCCGCGCGUGUGACCUGCAUGGCCUGGUCGGCCAGCAGCGCCCGCUUUGCCGUGUGCACCGUGGACCGAGUGGUGCUGCUGUACGAUGAGCAGGGCGAGCGGCGCGACAAGUUCUCCACCAAGCCCGCUGACGCCAAGUAUGGCAGGAAGAGUUACAUGGUCAAGGGCAUGGCGUUCUCCCCGGACUCCACCAAGAUCGCUGUUGGCCAAACAGACAACAUCAUCUACGUGUACCGGAUCGGAGAGGAGUGGGGUGACAAGAAGGUGAUAUGCAACAAGUUCAUUCAAACGAGUGCCGUGACCUGCUUAUUGUGGCCAGCGGAGAAUAUCAUCGUCUUUGGUCUCGCUGAAGGAAAGGUUCGUUUAGCAAAUACAAAGAAUAACAAGUCCUCCACCAUUUAUGGAACGGAUUCCUAUGUGGUCUCACUAACUUCCAAUAUAUCAGGGAAGGGAAUCCUAUCUGGCCAUGCAGAUGGAACCAUAGUACGCUUCUUCUUUGAUGACGAGGGUUCAGGUGAAUCACAGGGUAAGUUGGUGAUGCAUCCCUGUCCUCCUUAUGCCCUUGCCUGGGCUUCCAACAGCAUUGUGGCUGCAGGCUGUGACAAGAAGAUAGUAGCUUAUGGGAAGGAAGGUAAUGUGAUUCAAACCUUUGACUAUAGCCGGGACUCCUCAGAGAAGGAAUUCACCACAGCAGCCACAAGUCCUGGUGGCCAGGCUGUCAUCAUUGGCAGCUAUGAUAGAUUAAGGGUAUUGAAUUGGAGCCCACGCCGCAGUGCUUGGGAGGAAGCCAAAUCCAAAGAAAUAGCUCACCUCUACACCAUAACAGCUUUAGCCUGGAAGAGGGAUGGUUCACGGAUCUGUGUGGGCACUCUGUGUGGAGGAGUUGAACAAUUUGACUGCUGCCUUCGCAGAAGCAUUUACAAAAAUAAAUUUGAAAUGACAUAUGUGGGACCAAGCCAGGUCAUUGUGAAGAACCUCUCAACAGGAACUCGAGUUGUGUUGAAAUCUCACUAUGGUUAUGAGAUUGAUGAAGUGAAGAUCUUGGGGAAAGAGAGAUAUCUGGUGGCCCAUACUUCAGACACAUUGCUGCUGGGUGACAUCAGCUCCAACAAGCUCAGUGAGGUAGCCUGGCAAGGAUCUGGAGGGAAUGAGAAGUUCUUCUUCGACAAUGAAAAUGUCUGCAUGAUCUUUAAUGCUGGGGAGCUGACAUUAGUGGAAUAUGGAAGCAAUGACAUCCUGGGGUCUGUCCGCACAGAGUUCAUGAACCCUCAUCUUGUCAGUGUUCGUAUCAAUGAAAGACGGCAGAGAGGCGUGGAGGCGAACAAGAGACUGGCUUAUUUGAUAGACAUCAAGACAAUAGCAACAGUGGACCUUGUUGGUGGCUACAAUGCUGGCACCAUCAGCCAUGACAGCAAGAUUGAAUGGCUGGAGUUGAAUGAAACAGGCCACAAGCUACUCUUCAGGGAUAAGAAAAUGAGAUUGCAGCUCUUUGACAUUGAAAGAAGCACCAAGACUACUAUUUUGAACUAUUGCUCCUAUGUGCAGUGGGUUCCAGGCAGUGAUGUGGUGGUGGCUCAGAACAGAAACAGCCUCUGCAUCUGGUAUAACAUCGAUGCUCCAGAGCGAGUCACCAUGUUUCCUCUGAAGGGGGAUAUUGUAGACUUGGAAAGAAAUGAUGGGAAGACUGAAGUGAUAGUAACUGAAGGUGUUAACACUGUGUCCUAUACUCUGGAUGAAGGCCUUAUAGAGUUUGGAACUGCCAUUGAUGAUGAGGAUUACCACAGGGCUACUGCAUUUUUGGAGACCCUGGAAAUGUCCACGGAGACUGAAGCCAUGUGGAAGACCCUAAGCAGACUAGCUUUGGAAGCUAGACAGCUGCACAUUGCAGAGAGGUGCUUUGCAGCUUUGGGCAACAUAGCAAAAGCUCGAUUUCUACAUGAAACCAAUGCCAUUGCAGACCAGGCAGCUCGAGAGCACGGCGGGGAUGGCACAGACCAUUACCUGGUGCGUGCCCGCUUGGCCAUGCUAGAGAAGAACUACAAGCUGGCAGAGAUGAUCUUCCUGGAACAAAACGCCACAGAGGAGGCCAUGGAUAUGUAUCAGGAGCUGCACAUGUGGGAUGAAUGCAUUGUGGUCGCCGAGGCCAAGGGACACCCAAUGCUGGAUAAGCUGCGUAAGGGCUAUUACCAGUGGCUGCUGGAUACGCAGCAGGAGGAGAAGGCUGGGGAGGUCCAGGAGGGACAGGGAGACUACCUGGCAGCCAUCAGCCUAUACCUGCGAGCAGGGCUGCCAGCCAAGGCGGCACGGCUGGCCAUGAGCAGGGAUGAGCUCCUGACCAACGGGGAUGUCAUCAAUAGGAUCUCCACAGCAUUGAUCAAAGGGGAAUUAUAUGAACAGGCUGGAGACCUGUUUGAGAAGGUUGGGAACCCACGGAAGGCUCUGGAGUGCUAUUGCAAGGGCAAUGCCUUCCUGAAAGCGGUGGAGCUGGCUCGUCUGGCAUUUCCUGCAGAAGUUGUGAAGCUGGAGGAGACCUGGGGAGACCAUCUGGUGCAGCAGAAACAGCUGGAUGCUGCCAUUAACCAUUAUAUUGAAGCCAGGUGCUCCAUUAAAGCCAUUGAGGCAGCCUUGGGAGCCCGGCAAUGGAAGAAGGCUAUCUACAUUUUGGACUUGCAGGACAAACAGAUAGCAGCCAAAUAUUAUCUCAAAAUCGCCCAGCACUAUGCAGCCUUGCAAGAGUAUCAGGUUGCAGAGGAGCUAUACAUCAAAGGAGACCAGACCAAGGAGGCCAUUGACAUGUACACACAGGCUGGGCUCUGGGAACAGGCUCACAAGCUGGCAAUCAGGUGUAUGAAUCAGGAAGAUGUGUCUGUGCUCUAUAUAACCCAGGCUCAAGAAAUGGAGAAGCAGGGCAAGUACAAAGAAGCAGAGAGGCUGUAUAUCACCAUAGAUGAACCUGAUUUGGCCAUCACCAUGUACAAGAAGUUUAAGAUGUAUGAAGAAAUGGUUUGCCUGGUAGCCAAAUACCACAAGGACUUACUGAGUGAUACUCACCUGCACCUGGGCAAGGAGCUGGAGGCAGAGGGACGUUUACAGGAGGCUGAGUACCACUACCUAGAAGCUAAGGACUGGAAAGCCACAGUAAACAUGUACAGAAUGAAUGACAUGUGGGAUGAAGCUUACAGGGUGGCCAAAGCACAUGGCGGGGCAAACUCCUAUAAGCAUGUGGCCUAUAUGUGGGCAAAGAGCCUUGGUGGAGAGGCAGCUGUGAAACUCCUCAGUAAAUUUGGACUUCUGGAGAUGGCCAUUGACCAUGCAGCAGACAGUGGUGUCUUUGAAUUUGCUUUUGAGUUGGCCCGCCUCUCCAUGAAGCAGAAGAUGCGAGAGAUCCACUUAAAGUAUGCCAUGUUCCUAGAAGAUGAGGGCAAGUUUGAAGAGGCUGAAGCAGAGUUCAUUAAAGCUGGGAAACCCAAGGAGGCAGUGCUAAUGUUUGUGCACAACCAGAACUGGGAUGCUGCACAGCGUGUAGCCGAGGCUCAUGACCCAGACAGCGUGGCUGAUGUGCUUGUGGGACAGGCACGUUUUUCCUUUGAGCAGAGAGAGUUCCAGAAAGCAGAGGCCUUCCUCCUGCGAGCACAGAGACCUGAACUGGCAAUAAAGUACUACAAGGAGGCUGGCAUGUGGAGUGAGGCCCUGCGGAUCUGUAAGGAAUACGUGCCUAGUCGGCUGGAAGUACUGCAGGAGGAGUGCAGCAGGGAGGCUGCCAAGAAGGGCUCCAGAGGAACAGAAGGGCUGCUGGAACAGGCACGGGAGUGGGAGCAGGCUGGGGAAUAUGCCAGGGCGGUGGACUGCUAUCUGAAGGUGCAGGAUCCCAGCAACAGUGUCCUGAUGGAGAAGUGCUUGCUGAAGGCAGCUGAGCUGGCCGUGAAGUUCUUGGGCCAGUCACAGAGUAUGGAGGUAACACGAACUGUGGCUCCUCAACUAGUCGCCAUGAAGAAAUACAGUGCGGCAGCAGAGCUCUACCUCAGUUUGGACCUCAUACGAGAAGCUAUUGAUGCCUUCAUUGAAGGGGAGGAAUGGAACAAGGCUAAGCGUGUGGCCAAGGAAUUGGACCCCAGGUCAGAGGAGUAUGUGGACCAGCGUUACAAGGAGUAUCUAAAGAACGAAGGAAAGGUAGAUUCGCUGGUGGGAAUAGAUGUCAUGGCUGCUCUGGACAUGUAUGCAGAGCGGGAACAAUGGGAGAAGUGCCUAGAGGUUGCAGCUAAGCAGAACUAUAAAGUUUUGCACAAGUAUGUAGCUCUGUAUGCAACCCACCUCAUCCGGGAGGGCAGCUGGGACAAAGCCCUGAGCCUGUAUGUCCGCCAUGGAACACCUGCCAACCCACAGAAUUUCAACAUUUACAAGCGUCUUUUUGUGGAGAUGGUGAAUGCAUCUGGCAUGAACUGUGCUGAGGCCUACUCCAGCUGGGCUGACCUGCGUGAUGUUCUCUUCAACUUGAGUGAAAACUUGGUAAAGUCAAGUGAAGCAAAUACUCCAGCACAUGAGGAAUUUGAGACCAUGUUGUUGAUAUCACACUACUAUGCCACCCGCUCUGCUGCUCAGGGUGUGAAGCAGCUGGACACUGUGGCUGCCAAGCUGUCCAUUUCCUUGCUGCGACACACUGAGUUCAUUCCUGCAGACAAAGCCUUCUAUGAAGCUGGAACAGCAGCCAAGCUCUCUGUCAGCCUCAUUGGCAUGCCAUUAGCCGAAUACUGGUUUUAGAGGCCUUUCCUCCAAACACCUUGCCAGAUUCUAUAUUUCCUCAUAGCAUGGGAGUAGGUAGUGGAAAGGGAGCUCUGAGACAGAAAGGGGGUAUGUACUACAGAGGGGACAUGUACUGCAAGGGGUAGAAUAGAGGCCACAUAAUGUUGCCUAUCAUCUCUGCUAUUGUAAACAUAGGAGUCUUAAAUAGCCUGCCUUGCUCUGAGUCACCUAACUAACUAGGUAUCUCACAGACACUCCUAAGGCUACAGGCUGAUCAUGUGCCCACAUGCGAUGACAAGGCAAAUAACAGCAUGUUUUCACUAUCUGAUGCUGGUUAUGCAAUAAUGCCUGAUUCCGUCUUGUGGAACUGUCUGUGGCUAGGUGGCUUGUUGUGGCCAGUAGUUGCCCCUACAGCAGUCCUCAGGGAUGGUGAGUCAUGCUGCACACUCUCUCUCCAUGCCUCUCUGCUGCAAUCAGGAUGUUGCCACACAAACAGAACCCUGUCAUUUCUAGCCCUUUGCUCAAAGGAGUGGUGGUCAUGAAGAUAAGCCAUAAGCUACCUGUUCUCACUUGUUUUUCUCUGCACCAGGCAGUCAACUGGGAGAACAUGGCAUUCAUAUUCCUGAACCGCUUCCUGGACCUUUCAGAUGCCAUCGAAGAGGGAAACCUGGAUUCCCUGGACCACUCUGAUUUCCAAAGGACAGACAUUCCCUUUGAGGUGCCACUUCCAGCCCAGCAGCAUGUGCCUG